GGGCACAUGGUGUAGUUGGUUAUCACAUCCGCUUAGCAUUUCGUGUGUAUCUGCCAUGCGGGGGGUGCUGGGUUCAAUUCCCAGUGUGUCCA